AUGAAUGUGAGAGCAGUCAAACUGGAUGGUGUUCACUGUGAAGUUCAUCUGGUGAAGUCUGGAGAAGGCUUUAUUCAGCCAGGAGGAUUUCUGAGACUCUACUGUGAAGGGUCUGUGUUUACGUUCAGUGACUACUACAUACACUGUCAUCGCCAGGGUGCAGGGAAGACUCAGGAGUGGGAUAUUUUCCUGUCCAGUGUAAUUGCCGUGGGGCUCGGUGAUUGGGCAGUAGAAGAGGUGUGUGGAGCUGAACUUCGUGUGGAUAUUUCUCUGAGAAAUAUAAACCCAAAUAUCACAAAAAUAUCUGAGGAAGAUGUAAAAUCAUGCACACUUCCACAGAUGUAUAAGCACAAGGAAAUAAUAUAA